GCAUAUCAAUAAGCGGAGGAAAAGAAACCAACAGGGAUUGCCCUAGUAACGGCGAGUGAAGCGGCAACAGCUCAAAUUUGAAACCUGGCGCUUGCGUCCGGAUUGUAAUUUGUAGAGGAUGCUUCUGGGCAGCGGCCGGUCUAAGUUCCUUGGAAAAGGACGUCAUAGAGGGUGAGAACCCCGUAUGUGACCGGCGCGCACCCUCCACGUAGCUCCUUCGACGAGUCGAGUUGUUUGGGAAUGCAGCUCUAAAUGGGAGGUAAAUUUCUUCUAAAGCUAAAUAUUGGCCCGAGACCGAUAGCGCACAAGUAGAGUGAUCGAAAGAUGAAAAGCACUUUGGAAAGAGAGUUAAAAAGCACGUGAAAUUGUUGAAAGGGAAGCGUUUCCCACCAGACUCCGCGGCGGUGUUCCGCCGGUCUUCUGACCGGUCCACUCGCCGCCGUGGGGCCAGCAUCGUCUGGGGCCGCCGGAUAAGACCGUAGGAAUGUAGCUCAUUGAGUGUUAUAGCCUGCGGGGAUGCGGCGCGCCCCGGGCGAGGUCCGCGCUUCGGCAAGGAUGCUGGCGUAAUGGUGGGCAACGGCCCGUCUUGAAACACGGACC
rnacentral:rRNA from 1 species